UACGUAGGGUGCGAGCGUUGUCCGGAAUUAUUGGGCGUAAAGGGCUCGUAGGCGGUCUGUCGCGUCAGGAGUGAAAACUCGGGGCUUAACCCCGAGCCUGCUUCUGAUACGGGCAGACUAGAGGUAUGCAGGGGAGAACGGAAUUCCUGGUGUAGCGGUGAAAUGCGCAGAUAUCAGGAGGAACACCGGUGGCGAAGGCGGGUCUCUGGGCCGAUACUGACGCUGAGGAGCGAAAGCGUGGGGAGCGAACAGG
rnacentral:rRNA from 1 species